CCACCCUACUUUCUCAUUCUGAAAAAAAAAAAUACUUAUACAUUUCAAAUUUGUUGUGGCACCUCAGAAUAGAAGGUCAGUGGUGACCAUGGGACAGAGCUAGAAGAAACAUCAGUACCCGUGAAAGAAAAUUGUUGUGCAUUACAAGUGGGAGUUGCUGACAUGAACAGAAGAAAGGAGGAGAGAAGAGUGGUGACGAUGCUGAUUGGUUGCAGUCAAUCUGCAUAUCUAUUAUGCUGAAGCUGGCUCAGUAGGAGUGGAUGAACACAGUAUUGAAUCCAUUGGAACUAACCUGGCCUUUAAAAAAAAAAAAAUGUUCCUAGAUGGAAAUAAUAAUGGAUUUGAAAA